rnacentral:rRNA from 1 species
GUCGAACGAUAAAGCUGGAGCUCGCUCCGGUGGAUUAGUGGCGAACGGGUGAGUAACACGUGAGAAAUCUGCCCUUGACUCUGGGAUAACUGCGGGAAACUGUAGCUAAUACCGGAUACUUUCCUCGGUGGGCAUCCACUGGGGAAGAAAGAAUUUCGGUCAAGGAUGAUCUCGCGGCCUAUCAGCUAGUUGGUGAGGUAAUGGCUCACCAAGGCGACGACGGGUAGCCGGCCUGAGAGGGUGACCGGCCACACUGGAACUGAGACACGGUCCAGACUCCUACGGGAGGCAGCAGUGGGGAAUAUUGCACAAUGGGCGCAAGCCUGAUGCAGCAACGCCGCGUGAGGGAUGAAGGCCUUCGGGUUGUAAACCUCUUUUAGCAGGGAAGAAGCGAAAGUGACGGUACCUGCAGAAAAAGCACCGGCUAACUACGUGCCAGCAGCCGCGGUAAUACGUAGGGUGCAAGCGUUGUCCGGAAUUAUUGGGCGUAAAGAGCUCGUAGGCGGUUUGUCACGUCUGCUGUGAAAUUCCGAGGCUCAACCUCGGACUUGCAGUGGGUACGGGCAGGCUAGAGUGCGGUAGGGGAGAUGGGAAUUCCUGGUGUAGCGGUGGAAUGCGCAGAUAUCAGGAGGAACACCAAUGGCGAAGGCACAUCUCUGGGCCGUAACUGACGCUGAGGAGCGAAAGCGUGGGGAGCGAACAGGAUUAGAUACCCUGGUAG